rnacentral:rRNA from 1 species
AGCUCCAAUAGCGUAUAUUAAAGUUGUUGUGAUUAAAAAGCUCGUAGUUGGAUCUCAGUUCGAGUCAGGCGGUCCACUUGCCAGUGGUUACUGCUUGACUGAACACUUUACCGAGUUUUGGUAUGGUGCUCUUCACCGAGUGUCAUAUCAGUUCGGUACGUUUACUUUGAAAAAAUUAGAGUGCUCAAAGCAGGCGUAACGCCCGAAUAAUGUUGCAUGGAAUAAUGGAAUAGGACCUCGGUUCUAUUUUGUUGGUCUUCGGAAUCUGAGGUAAUGAUUAAGAGGGACAGACGGGGGCAUUCGUAUUGCGGCGCUAGAGGUGAAAUUCUUGGACCGUCGCAAGACGAACUAAAGCGAAAGCAUUUGCCAAGAAUGUUUUCA